CCCAGCGUGAGCGACGCGGAAGACGGUGAUUUCUCCAUUUCCAUCUGAGCAACGGGUGUGUUCUAUAUACAGCAUGGUACACUGGAUGAAGGGAUGACUCAUAUCCCAGAUACUUCUGUCUUGAUUGCUGUUGCAUCACCCAACAAUUUGGAUUUUUAAAUGAUCAUCCCCCUCAGUCUUGUGUGAAAUGGCUUGAAGGAGUCAAGAGUGUGAACAAUCUGAAUGAUUAAUAUAUAAUUGAAAUAGUUCCUGUGGAGAAAUCAUGGUGACUUGUAUUGGUGUUGUUGUAAGGGGGAAAAGUGAACAGAUGUAUUUUGGAGAUAGGUCUUGGAGCAGGAUUGCAUGUUGGAAGUGAGAAGUGGAGAGAUAACAGAAAUCACUCCUAGAAGUCUUGCUUAAUCAAUUAAGUGCAUGGUAGAACCAUUUACUGAGGUAGGGAAGAUCAGGAAAGAUAUACAUUUCUAGGGGGUGAUCUGGAACUGGUUUUAAGAUUAGACUCACAAAAUGUCUUUUAGGUAGCCAAUUAGGUAUGCCGGUUAUAGCCUUGUUUAUAAAAUUAUUUAUGUUUCUCAAAGUAGCCAAGCUCAGGGUUGGUUCUCCCUAGAAAACUGUUGCCCUAAAUUUUAGCUUGUUCCUUCUCAUUAUUCAGAUCCAGGACUUAAAUGUUCACAUUCCUACAAAGACUAGCCCUAUUUCUCAUGCCCUUUAAACUCCUGAUCCCAUUCUAGUUUUACUGUCACACUACCCUGUUUCUUUUCCUCAGCGCAUUUAUCACUAUCUGAAAUUAUCUUAUUUAUUUUACUUUUUAACCUUUAUAUUUUACUGAUACAUAAUAAUUGAAAUCAUUUAUUUUUGUUUACUGGGUUACUGUUUGCUUUCCUUAACUAGAAUGUAGUUCUGUAAGAAAGGAUCCUGUAUCAGUUUUGUUCAGUCUGUAUCCAUGGAGAGAUUACCUGGUGCUAUGGGCUAAAUUGUAUCGCCUCACCACUCACAUGGUGAAACCCUAACUCCCACCAUGACAGCGUUUGAAGACCGAGUCUUUGGGAGGUAAUUAAGUUUAAACGAGAUCUGAGGGUAGGGUGCUCAUGAUGUGCUUCUUGCUGUGUCUUCAUAUGGUGGAGAGAGAUGGAGGAAGCAAGCUUUCUGGUUUCUCUUCCUAUAAGGGUACUAAUUCAUCAAGAAGGGCAUCUGCCAUCUGUAAGCCUGGAAGAGAGCCCUCACUAAGGAACUAAAUCAGCUGGUAUCUUGAUCUGGGACUUCCCAAACUCCAGACUGUGAAAAAUAAAUUCCUAUUGUUUAAGCUAUCCAGUCUGUGGUAUUUUGUUAUGACACCUGGAAUGGAGAAGAUGCACCAUAUAUAUAAAUACACAUAUAUGUGAA
rnacentral:lncRNA from 10 species